rnacentral:rRNA from 1 species
UACGUAGGUGGCUAGCGUUGUCCGGAUUUACUGGGCGUAAAGAGCGCGCAGGCGGUCGUUCAAGUCGAGUGUGAAAGCCCCCGGCUCAACUGGGGAGGGUCACUCGAUACUGAUCGACUCGAAGGCAGGAGAGGGAAGCGGAAUUCCCGGUGUAGUGGUGAAAUGCGUAGAUAUCGGGAGGAACACCAGUGGCGAAGGCGGCUUUCUGGCCUGUUCUUGGCGCUGAGGCGCGAAAGCUAGGGUAGCAAACGGG